rnacentral:rRNA from 1 species
UACGUAGGGUGCAAGCGUUGUCCGGAAUUAUUGGGCGUAAAGAGCUCGUAGGCGGUUUGUCGCGUCUGCUGUGAAAACUCGGGGCUUAACUCCGGGCCUGCAGUGGGUACGGGCAGACUAGAGUGCGGUAGGGGAGACUGGAAUUCCUGGUGUAGCGGUGAAAUGCGCAGAUAUCAGGAGGAACACCGGUGGCGAAGGCGGGUCUCUGGGCCGGCACUGACGCUGAGGAGCGAAAGCGUGGGGAGCGAACAGG